UACAGAGGUCUCAAGCGUUGUUCGGAUUCAUUGGGCGUAAAGGGUGCGUAGGCGGCGCGGUAAGUCGGGUGUGAAAUCUUGGAGCUUAACUCCGAAACUGCAUUCGAUACUGCCGUGCUUGAGGACUGGAGAGGAGACUGGAAUUUACGGUGUAGCGGUGAAAUGCGUAGAUAUCGUAAGGAAGACCAGUGGCGGAAGGCGGGUCUCGUGGACGAGUUCCUGACGCUGGAGGCACGAAGGCCAGGGGAGCAAACGGG
rnacentral:rRNA from 1 species